rnacentral:rRNA from 1 species
ACUACGGGAGGCAGCAGUGGGGAAUAUUGGGCAAUGGAGGAAACUCUGACCCAGCAACGCCGCGUGAAUGAUGAAGGUCCUCGGAUUGUAAAGUUCUUUUCUAAGGGAAGAAGAAAGUGACGGUACCUUAGGAAUAAGUCUCGGCUAACUACGUGCCAGCAGCCGCGGUAAUACGUAGGAGGCAAGCGUUAUCCGGAAUGACUGGGGGUAACGGGUGCGUAGGUGGUUUGACAAGUUGGUAGCGUAAUUCCGGGGCUCAACCUCGGCACUACUACCAAAACUGUCGGACUUGAGUGCAGGAGGGACAAAUGGAAUUCCGAGUGUAGCGGUGGAAUGCGUAGAUAUUAGGAGGAACACCAGUGGCGAAGGCGAUGUGCUGGACUGUAACUGACACUGAGGCACGAAAGCGUGGGGAGCAAACAGGAUUAGAUACCCCGUAGUC